GUCUACAGCCAGACCACCCCGAGCACGCCACAUCCCAGGAAGCUAAGCAGGGCGGGGCCUGGUUAGUACUUGGAUUGGAGAAUUUCCUCUGCCCCUGACAACCCUAUAAAGCAAGUAGCUGUUCAGU
rnacentral:rRNA from 1 species